GGAAUAUUGCACAAUGGGGGCAACCCUGAUGCAGCCAUGCCGCGUGUGUGAUGAAGGCCUUCGGGUUGUAAAAUCCUUUUCUGAGGGAAGAUAAUGACGGUACCUCAGGAAUAAGUUCCGGCUAACUACGUGCCAGCAGCCGCGGUAAAACGUAGGGGACAAGCGUUAUCCGGAUUUACUGGGCGUAAAGCGCAUGUAGGUGGCGCUGAAAGUUGGACGUGAAAGCUCCCGGCUUAACUGGGAGAGGUCGUUCAAAACUACAGUGCUUGAGGUUGGAAGAGGAGAGCGGAAUUCCCGGUGUAGUGGUGGAAUGCGUAGAUAUCGGGAGGAACACCAGUGGCGAAAGCGGCUCUCUCGUUCACACCUGACACUGAGAUGCGAAAGCGUGGGGAGCGAA
rnacentral:rRNA from 1 species